CUUUUAUGGAGAGUUUGAUCCUGGCUCAGGACGAACGCUGGCGGCGUGCCUAAUACAUGCAAGUCGAGCGAACAGAGAAGGAGCUUGCUCCUUCGACGUUAGCGGCGGACGGGUGAGUAACACGUGGGCAACCUACCUUAUAGUUUGGGAUAACUCCGGGAAACCGGGGCUAAUACCGAAUAAUCUAUUUUACUUCAUGGUGAAAUACUGAAAGACGGUUUCGGCUGUCGCUAUAAGAUGGGCCCGCGGCGCAUUAGCUAGUUGGUGAGGUAACGGCUCACCAAGGCGACGAUGCGUAGCCGACCUGAGAGGGUGAUCGGCCACACUGGGACUGAGACACGGCCCAGACUCCUACGGGAGGCAGCAGUAGGGAAUCUUCCACA
rnacentral:rRNA from 1 species